rnacentral:lncRNA from 7 species
GUGCGGUCAGACCUCCCUCCAACAGAAUCGCCUACAUCCUCGGGUCAACCGACGCACGAUGCGAAAUCCUCGGCCAUGACUGCCCUGAUCCAGUGGCCUCGUCGUGCAUAUAAAAAUCGGUCGCGCCGCAUUCCCUAUGACCGAUUCAAUCGCGUUGACGACUGGAGCCUAACCAUUAUCGCAAGGAAGGAGGGAGCAGGGGGGUGAUUGGGUGGCCACCAUGGAGAGUCACCGCCACCAUCAUCGCGCUCCCUGCGGAUUGCCUUGGAUGUCAGUCAUGGUCUGUGGCACCUGGGCAAAGGAUGUUCACGCGCUACGAACCUUGAUCCCCCUGGUAAUUUCUCAUCGGGGGCGCCACUACCUUGAGCCCGCGCCGCAUCGCAAUUCGCGCGUCCGUCGCCCCAACUCCA